UGUAAAUAUACUGAGUGCCAAUGAAAACGCAACACUUGGUUUUUCAAAAAUAAAAUUUAUAUAAGAAAUGAUAAUCUCUCAAAAUAAAUUGUUCUUGAAAAUUAACUAUUUGAACAAUAGAUCGAUAUCAAACAAAAAUGUUUUAUUGUCAUCUUUCGGGCGCAAUAGGUAAACGAAACAUCCAAUGUCGAAUCAUCAACUAACAGUCCUAACAAAAAAUGUUACAACCCCGUGGUGCAGCGCAAUCUCGACAGCGCCGUGGAAUUGAUCAUCCCGGAUGUUUAAUGUGAUCCCGAGGAAUGUUAUUCCACUUGUCCCGCAAAGCAAACUCAAGCUGACUUUAAGAUAUUGGAGGUGGUUUUCAUCGUCUAAAACAUGUCAAACCUGAUGCAAAAUUUGGUCGAUCGGACCAAAAUCCGGCGAAAAGCAUGACUUUUAGCCAAGGCGGGUGCCAAAUGUCUAUGUAACCUCCAUUGAUGUUUUUUGUACAUAAUGAAUGAUUUUUGGUCUACAGAAUUUGAUAUUUACGCCAGACGGCCGUUUAAAUGUCACUAAGGAAAGACUGUGGUGCUCUUAAACAAUUUCUGCGCAAAUGGUGCUUUCAACUGAAUUGCUCCAAAGGUUCUACCGUGACCACCAUUGAACUCUUUGACAUUUGGACAGUCAUCAUAGUCGAUAUCGGAUGUGUGAAAGACCAAAUGUAUCGGUCUUGCUGAGCGUUUCUUGCUUUUUGUACCCCGGG
rnacentral:lncRNA from 1 species